rnacentral:rRNA from 1 species
UACGAAGGGGGCUAGCGUUGUUCGGAUUUACUGGGCGUAAAGCGCACGUAGGCGGAUCGUUAAGUCGGGGGGUGAAAUCCUGGAGCUCAACUCCAGAACUGCCUUCGAUACUGGCGAUCUUGAGUCCGGAAGAGGUGAGUGGAACUCCUAGUGUAGAGGUGGAAUUCGUAGAUAUUGGGAAGAACACCGGUGGCGAAGGCGGCUCACUGGCUCGUAACUGACGCUCAGGCGCGACAGCGUGGGGAUCAAACAGG